rnacentral:lncRNA from 1 species
UAUAGCCUCGGGUGAAUGCUAGUGCGUGUCAGACAUAACUCUUAAUAGAUAAAAAGAAAUAACAAACUCCUACGUAGAUUCUAUCUCUAACAUACGAGUCUCGAUUGGACUUUAACUUCCUUAGAGAUAAAAUAAAAAUCCUAACUAACUCUAAUUAAUAGAUAAAUUUGCGUCAUCAAGCCCUGAAUCUUCACGAUUCCUUCUCGAAUUCAGCUUCUUGUGGAUAAGAUUUUCUAUCGACGAUUGCAUCUUUCCUUAUCUAAAUCCAAUAUGGAAAUUUAUCAAAUUUUGGUGUUAACACGUGCAUCUUCACAAAAUAUUAUUGUCACCCUUGCGAUAGCUCUUCUUUGGUUAGUCACAAUUGGAUCGUUUAGUAAGAAAUUAUUAUCGGAGUUCACAUUGCUGAAAUAGGAAUUCAAGAAAGAUUGAGGCCCCAGGUAACUUCAUCCUUGUAAAAUUACAUAAUGUAAGUCAUUACUCAAUAUUAAAUAAAUUUCAUUGUUCUAAAGUAUGUCAUCCAUAUUUGUUAUAUGACAUCAUUAACUUUUAUGUUUAUGUUUAACUAUUCGUAUUAUUCAAAAAAUAUAGUUAUUAAUUAUUUUUUUAUAAUUUGAUUUAUUAUUAUGAGAACUUGAAGUAUGACUUAUAAUUUUGCAUAUUUAGAUAUAUAAUUUUGCA